GGGGGGUUCGGAUUUAGGGCGUAAGCGCGCGCAGGCGGUUCUUAAGUCUGAUGUGAAGACCCGGCUCACCGGGGAGGGUCAUUGGAAACUGGGGAACUUGAGUGCAGAAGAGAAGAGCGGAAUUCCACGUGUAGCGGUGAAAUGCGUAGAGAUGUGGAGGAACACCAGUGGCGAAGGCGGCUCUUUGGUCUGUAACUGACGCUGAGGCGCGAAAGCGUGGGGAGCAAACAGGAUUAGAUACCAUGGUAGUCCACGCCGUAAACGAUGAGUGCUAAGUGUUAGAGGGUUUCCGCCCUUUAGUGCUGAAGUUAACGCAUUAAGCACUCCGCCUGGGGAGUACGGCCGCAAGGCUGAAACUCAAAGGAAUUGACGGGGGCCCGCACAAGCGGUGGAGCAUGUGGUUUAAUUCAAAGCAACGCGAAAAACCUUACCAGGUCGUGACAUCCUCGGACGACCCUAGAUAUGGGGGGGCCCCUUCCGGGACAGAGAGACAUGGGGGGUGCGUCG
rnacentral:rRNA from 1 species